GGGUGGUGGUGGAAGUCGGGG
rnacentral:miRNA from 1 species